rnacentral:rRNA from 1 species
UACGUAGGUGGCAAGCGUUGUCCGGAUUUAUUGGGUUUAAAGGGUGCGUAGGCGGCCCUGUAAGUCAGUGCUGAAAUAUCCCGGCUUAACCGGGAGGGUGGCAUUGAUACUGUGGGGCUAGAGUACAGAUGAGGUAGGCGGAAUUGACGGUGUAGCGGUGAAAUGCUUAGAUAUCGUCAAGAACACCUAUAGCGAAGGCAGCUUACUAGGCUGUAACUGACGCUGAGGCACGAAAGUGUGGGGAUCAAACAGG